rnacentral:rRNA from 1 species
UCAGGUGGGCCUCCAACCCUGAACAUAACUGUUCAGGGUUGGGCCUAGUUACUACUGGGAUGGGAGACCGCCUGGGAAUACCAGGUGCCGUAAGCA